rnacentral:rRNA from 1 species
CCUACGGGUGGCAGCAGUGAGGAAUAUUGGUCAAUGGCCGGAAGGCUGAACCAGCCAUGCCGCGUGAAGGUCAGUGCCCUAUGGGCGUUAAACUUCUUUUGUGCGGGAGCAAUAAUGGUCACGUGUGGCCAGACGAGAGUACCGUACGAAUAAGCAUCGGCUCACUCCGUGCAAGCAGCCGCGGUAAUACGGGGGGUGCAAGCGUUAUCCGGAUUUAUUGGGUUUAAAGGGUGCGUAGGCUGUGAGGUAAGUCGGCGGUUCAAUGCCCCGGCUCAACGGGGUGAAGUGCCAUUGAUACUGCCUUGCUGGAAUGCGGAUGCCGUGGGAGGAAUGUGUGGUGUAGCGGUGAAAUGCAUAGAUAUCACACAGAACACCGAUUGCGAAGGCAUCUCACGAAUCCGCGAUUGACGCUGAUGCACGAAAGCGUGGGUAUCAAACAGGAUUAGAUACCCUAGUAGUC